rnacentral:snRNA from 1 species
AGCUUUGUAUAGUGGCAGUAUCAUAGCCAAUGACGUGUAUCUGAGGCUGAUUAUUGCUAAACUAAUUGAAAACUUUUCCCAAUAUUUGCUCAAGAGAAAAGAAAACAUUUAUUGACCAAAGGUCUUUUU